ACCAAGUUCAAAUCCAUAUAGCUCCAUGUUACGUAGUGUUCCACAGUAGGUUAUUUCCCCGCUAGUGACUUAUAGUGGCUUACAGCUUCGCCUAUCUAUAUACGGUGAUCUAUAGCUAUCGGUGAUGCUGUCGAAAGUAAAACUCAAGUCCAAGUCAGUUCAGGUUUAUGGGGAGAGCCCCCUCAAGCUGUUCUGUGUUGGGGCUGAAAUGAAAUAUAGCAGACCAGGGAGAUUAUUCACCCUCUUAGUGAGAUGACCGUAUGGUCAUCUCAUGUUGAAACAACUCUGGCUGGUGAUAUCACUGAUGUGACGAACUUGCCUGAUACUAACAUAACACUAAAUAAUGACAUUCAGUGGCAACAAGUGUCAAACUUUGGGGUCCAGUGAUGCACCUUUCCUGCUUGCUUGAAAACCAGAAAAAGAAAGGUUUCAAUUUUUAUUCUGAAUAAAAUACAGUUUUGCUAACAUCCAGGCCUGCUCAGGUCAUGAAAACGUGAUGUGAUCCUGGGCAUGUGGUCCUAUUUUACUGUGUAAAUUUAUUUGACAACAUCUCAUUGAUAGAUGAUACUGUGUUUCCCUGAAAAUAAGACAUCCCCUGAUAAUAAGCCCAAUCGGGCUUUUGAGCGCAUGCACUAAAAUAAGCCCUCCCCGAAAAUAUUUUAACUGCAUGCGCAGCCAGUCCCCACCAUUUCUUCUGGUUAGGAUUAGGGAGACAGAGCUGGAAAUCAGAUAAGAUAGCAAGAGAAGCCCCAUCUUGCUCCAUGCUGCCCAAAAUAAUAAGACCUCCCCAAAAAUAAGGCCAAGCGCUUAUUUCGGGGUUCAAAAAAAUAUAAGACAGGGUCUUAUUUUCGGCAAAACACGGUAUAUGUACUAAUGAUAUAUAACCUCAACAUCAAGAAAAUUAAG